GGGUCAGUAGGUUGGUCGUGCCACCGGUACGUACUGGUCUCACUGAUUCCUCCUUCCUGAAGAACCGUAAUGCCACUAAUUUGGUGUUGCGGGGAAACAGGACUGUUACUUUGAAAAAAUUAGAGUGUUUAAAGCAAGCUAACGCUUGAAUACAUUAGCAUGGAAUAAUGAAAUAGGACGAUCGAUCCUAUUUUGUCGGUUUCUAGGAUUGACGUA
rnacentral:rRNA from 1 species